UUUAUGAAACUCUCCGAAAAUAAAAAUGUGUCAUGAACAUGAAUCACACUCGUUUCAUUGGUAGGCGGACUUUGAGAUUUGUUUAGCAGUGUUUUCUUUUCAUGAAACAUGUUUUUCGUUUCAUGUUUCAUGUUUUUCGUUUCAUGUUUCUUUGGUGUGCGGCUUGGCUUACAGUUAAUCAAAACUCCAUUUUUUACCAACUUAGUACUAUCGACAGUAGCUUUUGUAGAAGAAAGAUUAAUUUUCGAUUUAAUAUCGCUAUCUACUGUAACGAUUAGUUAUUACCAUCGUUACUAAAAUAUUUAUUCCAAUAGUAACUAGGUAUGCAACCAACUUUACAGACAAUUGUAUUGAAAGUUGCAGUUGAUCGACGACAAAAUUGGUAACUUUUGGGGAAUUCAGAACCUAGAAGUUGGUUUGUGUGUCGAUACGGCUUCCGGCUGACGUGAUUGUCAUUGAAGAAGGGGCUAUUCGUCACUUCAAUCUCGGCUGUUGUUGAAAGCAGACCCAUCAGCCAUCACGCCAGUGGCCAUUACAGAGAAUAUAAAAUUUUAGUUGAAAUGUUUGAAUAGAAUAUACGUUUACGUGGGAAGAAGUUGUUUUGUUCUUGGUUGUUAAGUGGUUUUGAAAAGAAGAGGUUUUUUUUGUUUUCCAACACCUUUUUGAAGAGUAAUGGCCACUGGUGGAGAUCAAGAUUAAGUCAAUCCUUUUUUUUGGGAUAUGGAAUAAAUAGAGGAUCAUUUUGAGUUCUUUUGGCAUUUAAUGGAUUUUAUUUUUUGUUUUUUUUUUGGAGACAGUUUUCCCGGUGCUAGGAAGUACCUCCUUGUCGCACCACAUCGUCGUACCUUCUGGUUGGUGAGAAGUACUCCCCCUAAGGUAGAGGAAACCUGGAAUAUACCUUACUUGGCUCUCCCGCAUCAACUUAACCGGAGUUUGGAGAAGCCACAGGCCUACUUUUUGUAGAAACGACAGGUUUUAUUAUUAAAAUUUACAUUUUCAAUUCUUUUACAUAACAUAUUUCAACUUUAACAUUUUUAAUAACAUAUAUAAUCUUAAUAAUCAUAUAAAUUCAUUUUUCUAAAAUCAAUUAACGUAAUCAUAAUCAAUAUUUUCCUUUCCACAACUUUUAUAUGUCAUUUUCAUUAUUGUAUUUGUAUUCUAUUUUAUUUAAAAUAGUCCGGAGAUCAUAACCUAUCUGGUAAGAUACUGUGCACACUAUCUUGGUUAUUAUCACAAUAUAUCAGUAUUGUCCGGUGUAUCAUUCCGAUCAGAUGUGGGAUUGUCAACCAAUAUUGUAGUCCUCCUUAAUAAUAAGUUUUUGUACACACAUAUUUAGAUCCAUUAACUGUCUUGGUAUAAUAAAUUCAAUAUAUUUGCUUUUCUCUACUGUAAUAUCUGUGUAAUAGACAGGAGCGUACUAGCCUAGUACGUCAGGUGGUUAGCUAGUUUGUAUAAAAUUGUAUAUAGGGGUUAUAGGUAUUUUUUUUUCAUUAAAUUUGUUGGUUGUACAUA